rnacentral:rRNA from 1 species
AUUGAACGCUGGCGGCAUGCCUUACACAUGCAAGUCGAACGGCAGCGGACCUUCGGGUGCCGGCGAGUGGCGAACGGGUGAGUAAUAUAUCGGAACGUACCUUUCAGUGGGGGAUAACGUAGCGAAAGUUACGCUAAUACCGCAUAUUCUGUGAGCAGGAAAGCAGGGGAUCGCAAGACCUUGCGCUGAUUGAGCGGCCGAUAUCAGAUUAGCUAGUUGGUGAGGUAAAGGCUCACCAAGGCGACGAUCUGUAGCGGGUCUGAGAGGAUGAUCCACCACACUGGAACUGAGACACGGUCCAGACUCCUACGGGAGGCAGCAGUGGGGAAUUUUGGACAAUGGGCGCAAGCCUGAUCCAGCCAUGCCGCGUGAGUGAAGAAGGCC